rnacentral:rRNA from 1 species
GACGAACGCUGGCGGCGUGCUUAACACAUGCAAGUCGAACGGAAAGGCCCUGCUUUUGUGGGGUGCUCGGGUGGCGAACGGGUGAGUAACACGUGAGUAACCUGCCCUUGACUUUGGGAUAACUUCAGGUAACUGGGGCUAAUACUGGAUAGGAGUUCCUGCUGCAUGGUGGGGGUUGGAAAGUUUCGGCGGUUGUGGAUGGACUCGCGGCUUAUCAGCUUGUUGGUGGGGUAGUGGCUUACCAGGGCUUUGACGGGUAGCCGGCCUGGGAGGGUGACCGGCAACAUUGGGACUGGGAUACGGCCAAGACUCCUACGGGGGGCAGAAGUGGGGAAUAUGGCAAAAGGGGCGGAGGCGUGAGGCAGAAACGCCGCGGGCGGGAGGACGGCCUUGGGGUGGUAAACCGCUUCCGCCUGUGACGAGGCGUGAGUGACGGUAAUGGGUAAAGAAGCACCGGCUAACUACGUG